rnacentral:rRNA from 1 species
GAUGAACGCUGGCGGCGUGCCUAAUACAUGCAAGUCGAGCGAACAGAUCAGGAGCUUGCUCCUUUGACGUUAGCGGCGGACGGGUGAGUAACACGUGGAUAACUUACCUAUCAGACUGGAAUAACUCCGGGAAACCGGGGCUAAUGCCGGAUAACAUGUUGAACCGCAUGGUUCUACAGUGAAAGGCGGCUUUGCUGUCACUUAUCGAUGGACCCGCGCCGUAUUAGCUAGUUGGUGAGUUGACGGCUCACCACGGCAACGAUACGUAUCCGACCUGAGAGAGUGAUAGGCCACAUGGGAACUGAGACACGGUCCAGACGCCUACGGGAGGGAGCAGUAGGGAAUCUUCCGCAAUGGGCGAAAGCCUUACGGAGCAAGGCCGCGUGAGUGAUGAAGGUCUUGGGAUCGUAAAACUCGGUUAUUAGGGAAGAACAAAUGCGUAAGUAACUGUGCGCUUCUUGACGGUACCUAAUCAGAAAGCCACGGCUAACUACGUG